rnacentral:lncRNA from 1 species
UGCUGACCCAUCAUCAUUCCGGAGGAAUUGCUGUCCCCCAGAUAAUCUGAAUGUAUUCAGAAUCAAGCAAUGUAAAAUUCAUUGCAGUAUGCACACUUUCAGACAAUUUACGAUUAGAGAGAAGUACUAAUGUGCUUUUAUCUUUUUCAUUUGUUUAUUUGUUUCUUCUCACUGAAGAAAUCUGACUGGAGGUUUUUGAACAGGUUGCCAUUCUUGCUGACUGUAAAUGUUUGUUCCUAGAGAUUUUUGUAAUGCUGCUGUCUCCCUCCAACCUAACUUUCUUUCUUUACACAGAUAUCCUGUCGUUUGUCUUUGUGCUGAUGGCUGCAAAACAUGUCUAUCAUGUAAAAUCCUUUCCCUUAACAUUUAAUUAUCUUUAAGUUUGUGUCGUGAUCAUCAAUUGUUCCAUUGACUGUCUCCUCUAAAACUGACUGAGAAAAUGACAUGUCCCAGUUGACAGCCUAUUUUCCAAAAAUAACAACAUGAAAAAGGAAGAAAGGCUGAUCCUAAACCGUGUUAAGAAGUCCUGCUUAGCCUGCAAUUUAAUAGAAAUUCUGUCAUGGGACAUCUGGGAGCUCAGUUGAAUGAUAUUUUUAAAACAGCAGGAGGCCAGUAUGUUUUUCUGACAAUAUCAUCUUUGGAACCAAGAAAAGAGAAAAGGUUGCAUAUUGGAACCUCUCUGGGAAAAAACAUACCUGAACUCACCUGUAAAAAACCAAAAAGGCUGAUGUCAAACUGUUGUGCUUUUACUGAUUUACUUCAUAAUGAAUGUACCAGUUAAAGUAACACUGGACUAUCAAAGAAAUUGAGAACAGAACUUUAUUUUCAGGCUUAAUUUUUUCUUUUCAAAUGAAACAUGAAUCUGAGCACAUUUCUGGCUAUUUGUAACCACCUUGUGCCUGCAGUAAAGCCUGAUACACAGAUUGCAGCACGUGCAUGCUGUCUUGAAGACUUUGGAGGCAUCUUGAGGGCAAUAAGGUGUCUAUGCAAAUUAUGUUGGAAAACACUAAUAAAAGCC